GUAGGUAAGAUUCAGUUGGUUUGAGCAUGUGGCUGUUAACAACAAGGUCGGAGGUUCAAACCCUCCUUCUAGCG
rnacentral:tRNA from 1 species